GGGGACGACAGGCUUCGACGCGGUCGGUUUCGUUGUGAUGGUUGCGAGCCGAGGUCCCGGAGGCCUCGUAAAACACCGGGAAACCAAUACGUGCGGACUCUCACGAGUACGCCCUCGCCGCUUAGUCACUAGCUAAGCGUGGUGAGGUCUGGCCCCCAGCCUGCCUGCCGCUGGGCUCGCCGGAUCAGAUAUGCAGGCUUCACCCCCGGCGGUCCGCCUCCGCCAAAGGGGGGACAUCUUCAGGAGGCUGGCUCCCUGGAACCCCGCCGGCGAGGCGACCAGGGAGCGAGAUCAGAGCGCCGGAUACGCUCGUAGAAGCCAUCAUCGCGCGAUUGCGGACGUGGGUUCGAUUCCCACCGUCUCCAC
rnacentral:tmRNA from 1 species